CGCCAGGGGCUAUGGAUUAAGGGGAGACGAACCCCGCCAGGGCAGGAAUGCAGCAACGGCACUCUUACCUUUUCUGCCGUAGUCCUCUGGCGCUU
rnacentral:SRP_RNA from 1 species